AUUGAACGCUGGCGGCAUGCUUUACACAUGCAAGUCGAACGGUAACAGGCCGCAAGGUGCUGACGAGUGGCGAACGGGUGAGUAAUGCAUCGGAACGUGCCCAGUCGUGGGGGAUAACGCAGCGAAAGCUGCGCUAAUACCGCAUACGAUCUCUGGAUGAAAGGGGGGGACCGAAAGGCCUCGCGCGAUUGGAGCGGCCGAUGUCAGAUUAGGUAGUUGGUGGGGUAAAGGCCCACCAAGCCAACGAUCUGUAGCUGGUCUGAGAGGACGACCAGCCACACUGGGACUGAGACACGGCCCAGACUCCUACGGGAGGCAGCAGUGGGGAAUUUUGGACAAUGGGCGCAAGCCUGAUCCAGCAAUGCCGCGUGCAGGAAGAAGGCCUUCGGGUUGUAAACUGCUUUUGUACGGAACGAAACGGUCCGGGCUAAUACCCUGGGCUAAUGACGGUACCGUAAGAAUAAGCACCGGCUAACUACGUGCCAGCCGCCGCGGUAAUAC
rnacentral:rRNA from 1 species